rnacentral:rRNA from 1 species
CGCGGCCUAUCAGCUUGUUGGUGGGGUAACGGCCUACCAAGGCGACGACGGGUAGCCGGCCUGAGAGGGCGACCGGCCACACUGGGACUGAGACACGGCCCAGACUCCUACGGGAGGCAGCAGUGGGGAAUAUUGCGCAAUGGGCGAAAGCCUGGCGCAGCGACGCCGCGUGGGGGAUGAAGGCCUUCGGGUUGUAAACCCCUUUCAGCAGGGACGAAGCGAAAGUGACGGUACCUGCAGAAGAAGCGCCGGCUAACUACGUGCCAGCAGCCGCGGUAACACGUAGGGCGCAAGCGUUGUCCGGAAUUAUUGGGCGUAAGGAGCUCGUAGGCGGUUUGUCGCGUCUGCUGUGAAAACCCGAGGCUCAACCUCGGGCCUGCAGUGGGUACGGGCAGACUAGAGUGCGGUAGGGGAGAUUGGAAUUCCUGGUGUAGCGGUGGAAUGCGCAGAUAUCAGGAGGAACACCGAUGGCGAAGGCAGAUCUCUGGGCCGUAACUGACGCUGAGGAGCGAAAGCAUGGGGAGCGAACAGGAUUAGAUACCCUGGUAGUCCAUGCCGUAAACGUUGGGAACUAGAUGUGGGGACCAUUCCACGGUCUCCGUGUCGCGGCUAACGCAUUAAGUUCCCCGCCUGGGGAGUACGG